AGAGUUUGAUCCUGGCUCAGGAUGAACGCUGGCGGCGUGCCUAAUACAUGCAAGUCGAGCGAACGGACGAGAAGCUUGCUUCUCUGAUGUUAGCGGCGGACGGGUGAGUAACACGUGGAUAACCUACCUAUAAGACUGGGAUAACUUCGGGAAACCGGAGCUAAUACCGGAUAAUAUUUUGAACCGCAUGGUUCAAAAGUGAAAGACGGUCUUGCUGUCACUUAUAGAUGGAUCCGCGCUGCAUUAGCUAGUUGGUAAGGUAACGGCUUACCAAGGCAACGAUGCAUAGCCGACCUGAGAGGGUGAUCGGCCACACUGGAACUGAGACACGGUCCAGACUCCUACGGGAGGCAGCAGUAGGGAAUCUUCCGCAAUGGGCGAAAGCCUGACGGAGCAACGCCGCGUGAGUGAUGAAGGUCUUCGGAUCGUAAAACUCUGUUAUUAGGGAAGAACAUAUGUGUAAGUAACUGUGCACAUCUUGACGGUACCUAAUCAGAAAGCCACGGCUAACUACGUGCCAGCAGCCGCGGUAAUACGUAGGUGGCAAGCGUUAUCCGGAAUUAUUUGGGCGUAAAGCGCGCGUAGGCGGUUUUUUAAGUCUGAUGUGAAAGCCCACGGCUCAACCGUGGAGGGUCAUUGGAAACUGGAAAACUUGAGUGCAGAAGAGGAAAGUGGAAUUCCAUGUGUAGCGGUGAAAUGCGCAGAGAUAUGGAGGAACACCAGUGGCGAAGGCGACUUUCUGGUCUGUAACUGACGCUGAUGUGCGAAAGCGUGGGGAUCAAACAGGAUUAGAUACCCUGGUAGUCCACGCCGUAAACGAUGAGUGCUAAGUGUUAGGGGGUUUCCGCCCCUUAGUGCUGCAGCUAACGCAUUAAGCACUCCGCCUGGGGAGUACGACCGCAAGGUUGAAACUCAAAGGAAUUGACGGGGACCCGCACAAGCGGUGGAGCAUGUGGUUUAAUUCGAAGCAACGCGAAGAACCUUACCAAAUCUUGACAUCCUUUGACAACUCUAGAGAUAGAGCCUUCCCCUUCGGGGGACAAAGUGACAGGUGGUGCAUGGUUGUCGUCAGCUCGUGUCGUGAGAUGUUGGGUUAAGUCCCGCAACGAGCGCAACCCUUAAGCUUAGUUGCCAUCAUUAAGUUGGGCACUCUAAGUUGACUGCCGGUGACAAACCGGAGGAAGGUGGGGAUGACGUCAAAUCAUCAUGCCCCUUAUGAUUUGGGCUACACACGUGCUACAAUGGACAAUACAAAGGGCAGCGAAACCGCGAGGUCAAGCAAAUCCCAUAAAGUUGUUCUCAGUUCGGAUUGUAGUCUGCAACUCGACUACAUGAAGCUGGAAUCGCUAGUAAUCGUAGAUCAGCAUGCUACGGUGAAUACGUUCCCGGGUCUUGUACACACCGCCCGUCACACCACGAGAGUUUGUAACACCCGAAGCCGGUGGAGUAACCUUUUAGGAGCUAGCCGUCGAAGGUGGGACAAAUGAUUGGGGUGAAGUCGUAACAAGGUAGCCGUAUCGGAAGGUGCGGCUG
rnacentral:rRNA from 1 species